UUUCUUGCAGCUAUUUUGAGUUUUGUUCUCCUCGGUUUGCGGAGGCUUCUAAAAAUGCAUUAGUUUCCAGCUUCCCAGGUGAGAGCCGAGGUCUCCAAAGAGCAAAGUGGAUUCUGGCUGAAGCUGAGUCAGUAAUCAGCUUUGUUGGCCUUUGACUCUACCCAAUUUGCUUGCUCUGAGGAGGUGUGUAGAGUGAAUGUACACACAGAAAAUGUGUCAUGGUUCCUGUAUUCCAGGAAGAAAGAUGCCCCACAGGCUCACUCCUCCAGCCUUCUUUUCCAGCAGGGGACCCAGAAGGACAGCUGGGAAAGCAGCAAGAUGACCAUCUACGUGUUGUCCUUUGGGAAUGACUUUCAAGUUCAUGGCUGCGGUGGCUGCUACCCAAAGUCAACAGCACGGAAACCUUCCUGUUAUAUCAGAACCUCUAUCUAAAAAUGGAUUGACUCAAUAGGAAAGCAACAGCAAAAGGGACAUUGAUGUGAAAGGAAGGUCAAUGAAAACCACCUUGCUUUCAGUCUGAGGGUUAGUUGUACUCUAACAUGAAAAAGGAAGAUUUUCUUUCAGAGACUGGCCUGGCAUGCUUAACCUUAACCUUGUCAGUUACAAGGACGUUUAAACAUUUAAAUGAAGGCGUUUCAGAGGAUGUUGAACUAGAAGAUUUUCAAGUUGCUUUCUCAGAUAAAGGUUGUUCUUUCUCAGAUAAGGUUAUGUCUUCAAAGGCACUUUUUUUUUCU